ACAUAGGAGGCGCAUAAUUUAUUGCUGUCGCGGGGCGGCCUGCGGCCGUGCGCCGUAUGUUAUUGAUAGUUCAGAAUAUUGUUCAAACAAUUGAAAACGUUGUGUGUGUUAAUAAGCUGAAAUAAAACGUCAAGAAAUCAGAAAUUGACUCUGUCUACGUUUAUCGCGUAUCUAUGACUAUGUCACACAUCAUUAAAUGGUUGCAUGCCGUGCCAGAAGCGAACCGAGAAGUAACAAAAUCCACUUUACGGACAUCACGGGCCAGUUAUUGCGUUCUCCAUCAAUAACGCUACACAGUUUUAAAUGGUGCCGUGAACAGGAUCGAACCGAGAAGUAACAGAAUCCACUAUACGGACAUCACGGGCCAACAGAACAACAACAACGCAACAUGGAAAACGGUGGCUUUUAAACACGAAACGGAUGCCGGGUUUAAGAACAAGUUCAAUUGUGCUGGAUUUUACCAAAAGCUACGCCAUGAUUGUUUGUUCAAGAAUGCUACAACGCUUUCACCAGCAAAGUCUGCUAAAACCAUUCUUUACAUAGAUGGUGCCAUCACUACGUUAUUGUCAAUAAGACCGGUGUGUACACAAUGCUGCUAACUCAAUAAUUAUGCAACCGUCAAACGAAAUCCUGAAUAUAAUCGAUUUGUUAAAAAUGUGCAGUUGUGUCCAAAAUGAAAUUCCCUGGUCCAACAUGUCAGGCACUUGGUAUCCGCUGUGAACAUUGCAAAAACUUGAACAAUGGGUUAGCGAUGGAAAUAAACUAGUAAGUUGUCAUGACGAUAUUAAAUGAUAACGACAGGGGAUAUUUAUAAAUGUUUGCCAUGAUUUUGAACAACUGAUGCUUGUAUCACCACAACGCAAAUGAAAGAUCGAGAUUUCAAGACUAUGCCUUUGAAGAUCGAGAUCGCGAAACAACGACUUCCACAACGAAUUGAAGACAGUACUUCAUCAACAUAAAAUGCAUAAGGGAUAUCAUUGUGUUUUGCUCUCAAAGCGAAACACAUGGUUCUUUAUUGCAAGAAGAUAAAUCAGCGCCUGAUAAUCUUUGGAGGACAUCAAGUGACGCAGCACUGGACAAAAUACUUAUGAUGUUAAACACUAUAGAGUGGGUGCAUGUGGUUUAUCUAUACGAUAUGCGUUGAAAGCGCAUCCGAAGUCAACUAUACUUGGCACACUAAGCCACCAAAGGGAACAACUGCUAUAGUUAAUACCUUGUGAGCAUUAUGACCAAUAGAAGGUCUUAAUGUCUCGAGCGAAAUGAAGACGCUGGAAAUAUUAUUGUUAUCCGCAUAUUUUCCGUCAUAUGUGUGUUUAUAUGAAUUAUUUUUUUCAUGAACUUCGUUAUUCAACAAUUUUAAAGAUAUUUUUAAAUCAUAAAAUAUAAUAAAAUCAAAUUAAGGGGAAAGGUUGUGUAACAUAACACACUAUAAUAAUCGAAUUGUGUACCAAAUUUCAUACAAUCCUAAAUAGACAGUCACAUAGAUCAACAUUUCAGUAGCCUCGGGUUAUCAAACGUCAAUAAGUACCGGGCACGAAUAUUUGCUUACCUUUGGUGUCAAUCUUCGGUCGAUUCCGUAUGUAUUAGUUGUGUCCGUUGCAUACGUCAUAUUUAUGUUGCAGACUCGUGACUUUACAAACAGCCAAUCAGAAUAACACACGUAACAAUUAUCAAAGCUUCCGUUGUUUAUAUAUAUAUUAAUAAGGCAGUAUUACUUGAGCAAGCGAAUAUAGAAGGCGCAUGAUUUAUUUCUGUCGCGGGGCGGCCUGCGGCCGUGCACUGUAUGUAACUUGUAGUUCACAAUAUUUUUCAAACAAUUGAAAACGGUGUGUGUGUUAAUAAGCAGAAAUAAAACGUAAAGAAAUCAGAAA